rfam:Gossypium hirsutum cultivar TM-1 chromosome 18, whole genome shotgun sequence
CACGUCAGCGCGCUUUGCUGACGUGAACACAAAUCGCGUCCUCUGAAGCGCGAUUUAUUGUCAUGUCAGCAAAGCGCGCUGACGUGG